rnacentral:rRNA from 1 species
AGAGGAGCUUUCUGUAUGGGUUGAAGUCGUACCGUAAGGAGCGGUGGACUGUACAGAAGUGAGAAUGCUGGCAUAAGUAGCGAGAAAUAAGUGAGAAUCUUAUUGGCCGAAAACCUAAGGUUUCCUGAGGAAGGUUCGUCCGCUCAGGGUUAGUCGGGACCUAAGCCGAGGCCGAAAGGCGUAGGUGAUGGACAAUCGGUUGAUAUUCCGAUACCACCUAUUUACG